AGUGCUUUGAGGCAGGCUGGGAGGCUGCUUCUGACUCAGGAUGGUGAGUUGCUAACAGUUUCCUGUACAAGAGGUACCACGCUGUUAUUUUCUGCUGAGUGUAGCUACAGUAUGUGACUAAUUAGCCUCACCUCUAUCAGCCUUUCACACAUGCAACGUGUGUCCUCUUUCCCUUUCUGUUACCCGCUCUCUCUCGUAGGCAAAAGCACACAGACCUUCAAAUAAGAGUCGAUCAUACCCUUGUCCUCAACGGAGAUGGCAGAAAUGGCACGAACGGGCUGACCUUCUGGUUUGAUCUCGGACCUGUCUCAGAAGGUUGUUUGGUGAUGCAGACUCUCCACCUGAACCUGGCAGCCAUCUUUGGGUUUGCUCAACUCACCUCACUAGGUACUAUGGGAUGUGCUCUGGGUAGUGGGUUCCUUGCCUUGCGGGUUGUUAUUGCACUUGGUUCUGCUUUCCUUAGGGAAACCAUUAACCAUCCAUGUUUCCUUGUUCAAGCGUUGGUACUAUCUUUAAACAAGGACUGUCUCAGUCCUUGAGUUACCUCUACUGUAGGGUUAGGCGAGAGUCAGACCUAAUGCAAAACGAAGGGUUAAAUAUAUUGUCCUUUGGGUUGAGAUUGGAGGGAACAAAACAUCCGUUUUUGUAGCUGCUAGAACAGUUCACUUACAAAGUCAAGCUACCAUCUGGCUUCUGAGUGCUGCCAUGGUUUCCUGAAGAACACAAGGAAUGGAGAUACUCAGAAUAUUAGCGUUUUUAUUUUAAUAUCAAAGCAAAUUAUGAAUAGAACAGCAUGAGUCAAUUUACAGAUAAUGAAAGGGAUUUCUGAAGGAUAUCUGUAGGCUGUAAGCUAUGCUGUGCAUAUGAAAAAAAUUACUACCUGACAGAUUUUCAGAGAGAGUGUAAAUGGUCCCUUUUAUACUUCCUUAUCUGUGUGUAUGUGCA
ensembl:lncRNA